CCGACGGUGGUGCGGUGCUUGGCGACGCCGUCGUAGUUGGCGGUGAUCGUGCCGGCGCCGAUGUUCGAGCCCUCGCCGACGGUC
rnacentral:tRNA from 1 species